UACGGAGGGGCAAGCGUUGUCCGGACUUACUGGCGUAAAGGGUGCGUAGGCGGUUUGCAUGCGUCCGCGCUGAAAUCCCGAGGCUCAACCUCGGGGCGCGUGCGGAUACGAUGCGACUUGAGGCUCGGAGAGGGUGGGAGAACUCCUGGUGUAGUGGUGAAAAUGCGUAGAGAGUCAGGAAGAAUCACCCGUGGCGCAAGCGCCCACCCU
rnacentral:rRNA from 1 species